UAGCACAUAUCAUUGUCCUGCUCCCUCAAUGUGGGAGUAGCGAUAUUUCUAAUGUGCUAGAGAAAAUUUGUUGGUUAAUUAACAGCUUGGUUAAUUUUUUAUGAUCAAUGCUGUCAGUCACCUUCAUACACUU